rnacentral:rRNA from 1 species
UACGAAGGGGGCUAGCGUUGCUCGGAAUCACUGGGCGUAAAGGGUGCGUAGGCGGGUCUUUAAGUCAGGGGUGAAAUCCUGGAGCUCAACUCCAGAACUGCCUUUGAUACUGAAGAUCUUGAGUCCGGGAGAGGUGAGUGGAACUGCGAGUGUAGAGGUGAAAUUCGUAGAUAUUCGCAAGAACACCAGUGGCGAAGGCGGCUCACUGGCCCGGUACUGACGCUGAGGCACGAAAGCG